rnacentral:rRNA from 1 species
ACUCCUACGGGAGGCAGCAGUGGGGAAUAUUGCACAAUGGGGGAAACCCUGAUGCAGCGACGCCGCGUGAAGGAAGAAGUAUCUCGGUAUGUAAACUUCUAUCAGCAGGGAAGAAAAUGACGGUACC